rnacentral:tRNA from 1 species
GCGAGCGUAGUCUAGUGGUUAUGAUGUCUGCUUUACAUCUUUCAAUCAGAUAUAAAGCGCAGAAGGUCGGGAGUUCGAUCCUCCCCGCUCGUA